rnacentral:antisense_RNA from 1 species
AAACAAAAAACCCACCGUAAGGUGGGUUCUUUGCCCGGAUAUCUUCGGUUUGGCGACCUUAGAACCCGGUGGGUAACAGCUUCGAGCAGGAAGCGGAUACCGUUAAGUACCCCCUCAGUUUAGCCGUGUGCGGCCCACUGUUCAAGUAUCAAACCCCUGCUCGAACCCUGUUACCAAAGGCUUUCACCUUUGGCGCUUUGUCGUAUUCGCUCGGAUUGGCAAGCAAGUGAUUGUUGCCGUAGCGGGUGUGAAGGUCGGGCAGAACGGGGAAAUCUCACAUACUGCCCAAGCGUGCAAUCGCGCACCACAGCCUCCCAGGGCUCGCAACCCUGGGGCAUCUGCAAGUAGAGCGUAACGGGGAACCAACCACGGCCAGCUCUUAAAAAACGGCGCGGCAGCCCGACCAACAGGCGGGGGCUAAAGCAGAGUGCAGCGGGACGGGGUGUGUUCUCUGGAGCGCGUGAGAGGGAGCUGCCGCAAGCAGUCUCGAUAGUCCGGAGCAAGGCGAGCUUAUCCUGUAAAAGACCCUAAAACGAU